rnacentral:misc_RNA from 1 species
CUUACAGAAACAAGAACCUAGUUAAACGAACCCAAACAAACUCAUCAAACCCAAAUCCAUGACAGAAAACCAUAGUUGAAUCAAGCUGCUGCCCAAACCCGCAGCAAAUCAAGAUCAUCAUCGCAGUCGAAACUUCACCCAGCAAGCGUCUAGAAGCUUCAAUAGAGGGCAACUCCACAUAUUGAAGAACAACGACCAGGGCUACACAUGGCUAGAUUGCCCAAACCAAAAUACCAGACUCAAUAACACCCAAGAUUCAAGCAGCCAAAACUAAGCUCCAUAACAGAACCGCAAGAAUGCUAGCCAUUUAUUAUAGAACCCAGAAACUCAUGGAGACAAGUGCUUCUGCUACUUUGUCGGUUGUAAGAGAUGUGAAUCUGUUGGACAAGACAGUGAAAGAAGAGGUAAAGCACGGUGAUUUCUUAAUCUCUUUUAACUGGAGGGGAAAAGCCUCAUAAGUGAGCUUAACACCUAUACCCUCGAGAUACCUCUUAACAAGCUAAAAUUGAACCAUCACACGCAGACCCAGACUAACUCUCUUUCUAAAUCGCGUCAAUUUGCAAAAUGAAAAGAAACUCAUUUAUCCAAAACCCCUUUCAGGAGGGAAUAAUGCACUUCCGAAUAAAGGAGAGGAUGGCCAUCCCCUACUGGUUGAAGCAGAGGACAAUUAUGCACUCUGG